AGUAACCUCUAUUAGCACUCAUGAGCUGGUGAGGAAGGAGUUACCAUGAGGGCCAAGAAGGUCAGGGAGUACACUUAAUCCCCAAACCCUGAGAGCCACAGAGUUUCCAAGCAGUAGUAGUUUUCCUGGUAGAUACAGAGCACUAGGGUUUCUGCUCUUACCUCCUCACUCGUCCGGAUGUAGUUAACACCGUCAUGCUUCCCUGGGCUCUUAUAGCUGUGAACACAAGAGGACAGCUCAGUAGUGCAGCUACACUGCUAAUACAAGUCUGAACCUCAGACGAGACAGGCGUACCUUUCUCCAUCUUGUUUACUGCUGAUGAAGCAGCCUCGUCUGUACGCACAGCAGAUGCCCAUCGUAAUCACAGCAAGAACAAUAAGGACAACAAGGACUCCCCCAAUAAUCCCAGCAAUGUUCAAAUCAUCUGUAGAAAAAGUUCGUAGACAGAGAUGGUGUGGUCCAUCAAAGGACCUUGGCCCCGUUAGCUUACCUUUCCAACCCCUCUGCUGACCCAUUUACCCCUCUGUCUACUCCUGCCCACUCUAGCCAGAAGAGGAAACUGACCCAUUAACAUCUCUCUGGGUAAGAAAAUACAAGCUACCAUAGCCCCUGAUAUCAUAGAACAAAAGCAGUUACACUCAAAGCCACUGAGAGAUGCUUACCAGUGUAUAAAAGGCUUUAAAGUCUUGUAAAUAUUAUUUAUGGAGAAAUGGCUAUAUUUCUAUAUAGCAUCAAGAGCCAGGAGCCCUAAGUAAAGUAACCUUCCUAAUUUAUACAGCCAGCCUUGCUGGAGAUGACUUGAGCAAAAGAAAGCUUCAAAUCUUAACCAUAAAUACCGUUAAAUGCAAACUUGACCUUCUACUUCAGCUGCUGCCUGUCCUUGGCCCUCAUAUAACCCCCUGCACUCUUCCAGGCAGAGGCUCUAAUGGUUUUCUCCCUCUCUGCACACCUUCCUACAGCAGUGAAUUACCCUACAGUAAUUCUCCAAACUGGACUGCUGACAUGCAUUAGAAUGCGACAUGGACACAGACACUGUGGCAAGUUCCAGUGGCCCCUGCAUGAUGUAGGCAACAGUCCUCCAACAGGCUAGGGAAACACUGCUCUGGAGUGACCACAACUGAGAAUGAAGGAAGGAACCCAGUGGCUUAGCUCACCCUAUCCACUUCCUCCCAACACCUCCCCAAGAGCCCACUACCUGAUGACAUCACAGGAGAAAAGAAUGAGGCUUUGAGUUCCCUGCAAAAAUAGCUGCUAGAUUCCCGUCAGGGCUCCCUACGCGAAUGUUUUUGAUGCUUCAAUCAUUUACCAAAAAAAUGUGUUACACCUGGUGCAAGUUCUAUGCCAACAUGUUCCCGAUACCCAAGCCCCCAGGAAGCUGCUUUGCGGAUCUUCUCAUUUAGACCUCAUGCUCUUUUAUACUCCCAACAGGCUCCCCGAGGAUCUGAUGAGUCCCCUGUCAGCUGCAGAACUAACAUUCAACUUAAAUGUUCUAUUCACUCUUGUCUUCAGUGUAAUCUUUUCAAGUGACUCACAGACUUCCAUGUCCUGCCCCUCACACCUGGCUGCACCUGCGUCAUUGGAAGCAAUGCAGUAGUACUGCCCAGAGUCGUCCUUGUGGACAGCAUUGAAAACCUGUUUUAGAAAUGACAAAGUGUUACUUCACUCAACAGGACAAACUGAGUGACAGACAUCAAGGGUGACACCACACAGACGCCCCACUGAAGCCACAAAGCAGUCCGCUCACCAGCAGCUCUACUGUCCUCACCAUUUCCCUCCUGCAUCAGAGCUUCACAAGGAACUCCCUUCGGGAUGCAGAGAGAGCAAAGCUGGGCAAAGCUAGGCUGCAAGCAGCCCACUUCACUGUCCCUCUGAAGUUCAAGGGAUCCUAGCAGCUCUCCUUAGACAAAUACCAAUACCCUAGAAUGAGUCACGAUUCACCCAAUCACUCCCUGAAGUUGGGUAUUUCACAAACCAGGACGCCACCCUCCCUGCUGAGUGCCUCAAAGCCAGCAUGUCCUUUGCAGAUGGCCAAGCCAUGCUGUUGCAUUUUCUUCUCGCUCCCAUGUGACCUCCUACCUCCCAGUGGGUUAGCCUUUUUUCUUUUUCUUUUUUUUUUAAUUGUUUUUUGUUGUUGUUGUUUUGAGACAGAGUUUCUCUGUAUAGCCUUGGCUGACCUGAAACUCACUCUGUAGACCAAGAUGGCCUCAAACUCACAGAAAUCCGCCUGCCUCCUGAGUGCUGGGACUAAAGGCACGUGAUGCCAACCACCACCAGGCACCAGGAGUUAUUCUGAAGCAAAUUCAAGACAUAUUUAAUCCAUAUCUCUUUAUGAUAAGGACUUAAGAACUAUAAUCACAAUUCUGUUGAUAAUGGCUUAAUAUCAAACACCUGCCCAGUAAGCACAUUUCCUUCACGUGGUGCAUAUGUUCCGUUGAUUAUUCAAACUAGGAUUCUAAUAACAUGAACCCACUUGUUUACCUGCCCCCUGUUCUCAUGCAGAUGUACAGGUUUCCAUUUUGUUUUACCCUUAACACUUGUUUAUAUGAAAGCCGAAGCCACCUUUCCUGUAGUGUUUCUGAUGUUCUAGAUUUUGCCUCUGCCUUGAAAAGGAGCCUCCCUGGCUCUCCUUCCAGGCAUCCUAGGUUCCAACAAACGCAUCUGCUUCCUCACCUUGGAAGGGCUCUUACCAGAGUGCCUGUCUCCGAGUUCACAUGGAAAGAGGAAUUCUGGAACCUGGGAUUGGCUCUGGAAUCUGUAGGCAGUGGCACAUCAUUGCGGUACCAGCUGUAGUGAGGCCGGGGAUAGCCCUCGCUCUCUUGGCACUGCAGUGUUGCCGUCUUGCCUACAGGUACAGCGGCUGGAAUUCUGCAGACAGGGGUCACUGGCUUCACUGCAGGCAAAAUACGGGUUGGUGUUUAAAAUCUCAGCACAAGCCCAUCAUACCAAAACCUAGCGUAAUAAAGCAGCUCCGAAGGCCACAGCCCAUCCACUGCCUGCACCCUGCUCACUCUGAGUUCAUUCCAGCCCGUGUGUCCAAUCUCACAGUCUCCAGUUCUUCCACCUUCAGGAGUAAGCUGAAAAGGAGGCUGCAAAGGCAGAUCCCUGAGGCCGAGCAACGACCUCACAGCGAUAGAUGGCUGAAUCCGAUCGUGUCACAUUCCAGAUCCUCAGGGAAGUUUUUCCAAACACAUCUGUGCGACCUGCCAGGUCUCCUAUAAAAAAGAAGACACAAGAUCCUAGACACUGGAAGACUGUGGGGCUGGACUUGAUGGCAGAGCAAGAAGACUGCAGUACAGUGCUGUUUGUCCUGUCCCUCCCUGUAUGAAAGACGUGAUCUUCAUGGGGACCAGGCCACUGACUUCUUCCCAUGUGCAACCUGAGCAUCAGAACUAGUAUCUGGUAGUUAAGAUAAAGCCAGGAACCUUAUUUCUCCUUAUUAUUCCCAGGAGGAGAAAAUUAAUUCAAGGAAAAGUUAAGAAAGGAAAACCAAAUAAAUAUUUACAAAACAAAGUCUACAAAGGAUGUUGUGGCUAUCCACA
rnacentral:lncRNA from 1 species